rnacentral:rRNA from 1 species
AUUGAACGCUGGCGGCAGGCCUAACACAUGCAAGUCGAACGGUAACAGGAAGCAGCUUGCUUCUUUGCUGACGAGUGGCGGACGGGUGAGUAAUGUCUGGGAAACUGCCUGAUGGAGGGGGAUCACUACUGGAAACGGUAGCUAAUACCGCAUUGCGUCGAAAGACCAAAGAGGGGGACAUUCGGGCCUAUUGGCAUCGGAUGUGCCCAGAUGGGAUUAGCUAGUAGGUGGGGUAACGGCUCACCUAGGCGACGAUCCGUAGCUGGUCUGAGAGGAUGACCAGCCACACUGGAACUGAGACACGGUCCAGACUCCUACGGGAGGCAGCAGUGGGGAAUAUUGCACAAUGGGCGCAAGCCUGAUGCAGCCAUGCCGCGUGUAUGAAGAAGGCCUUCGGAUUGUAAAGUACUUUCAGCGGGGAGGAAGGGAAGUAAGUUAAUACCUUUGCUCAUUGACGUUACCCGCAGAAUAAGCACCGGCUAACUCCGUG